rnacentral:rRNA from 1 species
UACAGAGGUCCCAAGCGUUGUCCGGAUUUAUUGGGCGUAAAGCGCGCGCAGGCGGUUCUUUAAGUCUGAUGUGAAAUCUUGCGGCUUAACCGCAAGCGGUCAUUGGAAACUGGGGAACUUGAGUACAGAAGAGGAAAGUGGAAUUCCACGUGUAGCGGUGAAAUGCGUAGAGAUGUGGAGGAACACCAGUGGCGAAGGCGACUUUCUGGUCUGUAACUGACGCUGAGGCGCGAAAGCGUGGGGAGCAAACAGG